UCAAGUCAUGAAAGUGGGCAGCACCCGAAGACGGUGGCCUAACCCUUGUGGGGGGAGCCGUCUAAGGUGAGGCUCGUGAUUGGGACUAAGUCGUAACAAGGUAAC
rnacentral:rRNA from 1 species